rnacentral:tRNA from 1 species
GCCUUCGUGGUACAGUGGUCAGCACACUCGGCGCGUACUCGAAAGGUCCGCGGUUCGAAUCCCGGCGAGGGCA